rnacentral:misc_RNA from 1 species
AAGUCGUAACAAGGUAACCGUAGGUGAACCUGCGGUUGGAUCAUUAAUGAAUUUUAAAGGGUGUUUCAAACUCUAGUAGUUUGACAUUCUUGAAUAGGUUUUGACGUUUUUUUCUGGAGUAGAUGUAAGUCUAUGACAAAAAAGACUGAAAAAACCGACUACCUUGUGUGAACUGUUGAAUGUCUCUGGCAAGAUCACUUUUAAAGAGUGACUCGACUUGCUCACCUAGUGAGUAGUCGUUUCCUAUUUUACAGUGAAAACUUGUCAGUCACUUUACUAAAACAUUGUUUAUAAAACUUGGUUUGAUCAUUAUCAUAUACAAUGAAAAAUGACAACUUUUGACAACGGAUCUCUUGGCUCUC